rnacentral:rRNA from 1 species
GACGAACGCUGGCGGCGUGCUUAACACAUGCAAGUCGAACGGAAAGGCCCAGCUUGCUGGGUACUCGAGUGGCGAACGGGUGAGUAACACGUGGGUGAUCUGCCCUGGACUCUGGGAUAAGCCUGGGAAACUGGGUCUAAUACCGGAUAUGACCUUACAUCGCAUGGUGUUUGGUGGAAAGCUUUUGCGGUUCAGGAUGGGCCCGCGGCCUAUCAGCUUGUUGGUGGGGUAAUGGCCUACCAAGGCGACGACGGGUAGCCGACCUGAGAGGGUGAUCGGCCACACUGGGACUGAGACACGGCCCAGACUCCUACGGGAGGCAGCAGUGGGGAAUAUUGCACAAUGGGCGCAAGCCUGAUGCAGCGACGCCGCGUGAGGGAUGACGGCCUUCGGGUUGUAAACCUCUUUCACCAGGGACGAAGCGUGAGUGACGGUACCUGGAGAAGAAGCACCGGCCAACUACG